GGAAAGCACGUAUGAGUGGCCUGUACCAGAGGGAAAGUAAAAAUUAUCUGAGGAAAGGAAUGGACACGGAUUAGUCUGACGUAGCUUUCUGCAUUGUAGCUGUUUCCUAUCGUUUAGUGAUGUGACCCGACGGGACUAGGUGGUGAGGCCAUAUAGCAAAACGAUGUAUAUUUUGCUCAGGUUAAAAAAGUUUCUGACGAACCUGAAAUGAGACGGAAUCGGAAGUGACGCAUUAUUUUUUGGACCAACAUGCCAUUAGGUUUCUACCGUCUGUGGAACAUGGAAUCAAACCAGAAUAUGUUGGCACAGCAGGCCAGUCAGACCGGUUCUUCUGUAGAUCCAGAACCCGUCCAACCAGUCUGCAUCAAAGGCUAGCCCAACAAGCUGCAGCGGCUCAGCUCUGCUAAGCUUGUACCAGGUUGCUUAUUUUGGAGGAAGCCAGGUGCUAUGUCAUGAGGCAGCCCUAUGGAGAAGCCACCACAGUGAGCUUGGAAGUAGAUUGUCUGACAUCCAUCAAAAGCCAUGCAAAUGAGCUUGGCAGUAGAGCCACCUUCUGUUGAAUCUCAAGGUGACUAUAGCCUUUGUCAACACCAUGAUUAUAGCUUGGUGAGAAAGCCUGAGCCAGACCAUCAAGGAUCUGGUGAGUCCUCCUAGAAAAUGAUCAACACUGGAGGUGUGGUUUUAUGGACCCUGAUACAUUGGGGAAUAAGAUAGUCAUACACUCUCAAAUCAUCCGCCAACAGAUUAUUUCAUAAUUGCAAAGGGAACAUGAUGUCUUAACAUUGGAGAAGUCUGGCAAACAUCAUCUUAAUCAGCAAAGGAAACUGAGCCAUAAACCACAAUAUGCGGUGGACCUCAAAGAACCAGUCAGCCCACAUCAUCACAUCCCUCAACCUGUCUGACUCCACCGUGGGGCCAUCCCAGUAAAUCCAGAUUGCUGAAUGAGAUGAUCACCAAAAAGGUACAACAUAUAGCUCUCUGGUUGUUUAGAGAUCACUUAUGAACCAAUGCUGUGCACCAGGGCCUUUUUGAAGUGCGCAAUAUUGUUUAAAAUAAUGUCCUCAUUCACUUGGAACUGAAACAGAAUGAGGUGUUCUAGAGAAGUAUAGUUCCACAUAAUUGAAGUUUACCUCUUUUAGUCAUUACACUUUUUACAAAUGCAAAUGUCCGUGAACAUAAAUAAUUCUAAAAUAAAUUGUACACUGUCAGCAUUCUUAAACAGUGUUUCUAACCACCACUUAACAUGAUAACUCAGUCCAUGAGCACUGACUGUUUCCUUUCAUUUGUUGGUUACUGUUAAUUAUCUGUGUAUUUGGCUCUAUGCUACGAAUUGAAAGUAAAUUAAUCAAAAUCCCUAACAGAUAGAAAUUUUAAGCUAAGAAGGAAAAAACAUACUAAACAACUAAGUUUAAUAUGUACAAUAAAUAUACUGUGUGGAGGGAAUUCGAUGCAGGGGCUGUUCCACAUGAGUCCAGGAAGAUGUCACAGGUAAGAUGACAUUGGAUGUGGACCUUGAUGGUAGGGGAGGAAGGUGGCAUUGGUGGCAGUGUGGUGGUGGAUGGUGGGGUGCUGUUUCCCAGAUGAUGAAGUGGCAUGAACAAAGCAUAAGGUAGAUCUAGAGAGUUGGGAGUGGGCCAGGGCGUGGGUAGUGUGGUGGGAUGUGGCAGAGAUGACACUGGAAGGGCAAAUUGGGGUCAGCCCAGGAAAGGCUUUGGGUGCCAUAUCAGGGAGGGCCAGCUGAGGUUUCUAACAGAGAGUGGUGUGAUCUGCAUUGGUUUUAAUAAAGAUUACUCAGGCGAGCCUGAAAAAUGCUGUAUGGGAAUGGUGGGAGAGAUUGGAAACAGAGGCAUCUGUUAAAACAACACAGAGGGCUGGGGGAGGCUUGAAUUGGUCCAAGGAGGAGAAGAGGAGGAGCUCAGUUUGAGGUAAGAGGUAAGAGUUCAAAGGAGGUGGUAAAGUGUGGUUGAGAGCACAGGUCUUCCAGGCAGAUCUGAGCUGGGAUGGAAACCUUGCCCCUUAUUGGAUGAAGGACUUGGGGGUGCCACUUCACUUCUCUGCGCUUCAAGUUUCUUGUCUAUGAAGUGGUGUUCUUAAUACCUCAAAGGAUGGUUGCAUAAGUAAAUAGGAUAAUAAAUGAAGUACUUACCACUGAGUAGACAGUUUGCAAUUUAGGGAUCUUUUCUUUGUCCUAAAAGACCCAAGGCACAAGACAACCAUUUUAACAUAUGGGGUGGGUUUCAGGGGCCUUCUUGUGGUUAGCUGUGCCUUUUUUGCUGCCGCAUUUCAACAAAUAUGCAUUGAGCAUCUACUACAUGCUGGGCAAUGUCACUAGGCCUGUCCCUGUGGCUCCAAGGUCCUCUGAGAAUUGAGCACUCCUGUUGGGCUGUAGGCUCGGAAACAGAGAGCUAAUCGUGUUGUCUGUGAACAGAACUAUGUGAAUGCAUCUGAAAUAGGUGAGGCCCUCGAGGGCUGCCCUGUCACGUAGAAUGCUUGGCUUUGGGACUUUAUGCUGCUCAGAACACUUUCCCCUGAAUGUAUGGCUUUUCGUGCAUCUUCCAGCUUACCCAAGGACCCAGCAAACAUGGGAGACCUGGCUUAUGCAUAGAUGGUGGAGCCAGGCUGGGAGCUAGAUUGUCAGUCGAGGAGCUGGGGAGGCCACUCCUGGAGAUGCCUGGAACAAGAGACAUUCUCCCAGGCUGGCUUGCACAUUGUAGCCAUUUGUCAUAAGAAAGGAUGGCCUGCCUGAUUCCUCGGUCCAAGCCCCCAUGAGUCCGUACUGUCUUCCGCCUUUGGCGCAGGGGCUGGGGGGUGGGGAGACUGCAGCACAUAUCUCCAUGGCUCAUUACGUCAUCUGCCGAAGGCAAGGGCCACUUGUCAGUUUUUGCUGGCUAAGACCUCAGGGCAGGACGACUUGGUGUUCAUGAUAUAGAACAUCUGUUUGGGGAGGCACACUUGGGAAAGAAUGAAGGAUUUUCUGGGAGCCCGACCGGCUCACUGAGCAAAGGCCAGGAGGCAGUUGGUGAAGUAGUUGGAAGGCUGCGAUGUGUAAACACGAAGAGGGUGUGUUUCUCAGGAGUGAUGGGAGUCUGCAGAAAUGGAUCACAGGCGUCCCCUCUUCUCAGGCACAGAGAGGGAGAAGGAACGUUGUAACACAUGUGCAUUUAUUUGUUUGAUUCAGUGGCUAAUACAUACCUAAUACAUUACUUUGGGGGUAUGAAUGAAUAUUCAUGGCUAUCAUCUCUUUUCCUUCACAGUUGCUAUUUGUACAGCAGUCACUCUUUGUAUAGGUAGUUCCCUCCCAUCCAGGGACCCAGUGCCCUGAAACCAGUUUAGCUAUGGACUAUGUCCCCAAUAUGCUGAUAGCAGCACAAAAAGUAAAUGAACCCCCUUGGCUGUCUGUAUUUCUGUAAAGAUGGAAGAGUUAUAUGACAGAAAGGCACAUAGUAUACGACAGUAUACCCAACUAAUCUGGCUAAUAAGCUUGACAGAAGUUUGUAGGAAGCAGUUGAGAGGAUUAGCACUGGAACUCAAAGGAAAAGCUUAAUAAAGAACUUAAAUGGCUAUUUAUCAGAAAUUCUGUCCUGACUUUACCAGAUUUGGAAAAUCUGUGGCUGUUGGGGCUCACAAGCUGGAAAAGAGAAUAGAGGAAAUACAUGAGGAAGGCAAUUGGAAAAGGUCCUUCUUCUCUCCCAGGACCUCUUAAGAUAAAAAAUAGAUUGGAUCUGAAGGUGCAGUGGAUUUUUUCCCUUAAGCUCCCCAACUCCAAGGUAGACAUACUAUUGCUAUAUUAAAAAUAUAUAUAUGCUGCCUAUAUGGACACAAAAGUGUGUGUGAGGGUGUGGUCACUCCAGUUGUCUCAGGACAGCUGACCGCACCUAAUCAUCUUUCUUUCAAGAAGUAAGUCAAAUGACACCCCUUCUUCUAACUCCUCUCCUCGGCACCCACACCAGGUGGAACACAUCUCUUUGUGUCCCCACUUUACUCCAUUUGUUCACACAACUUUUAUCCCACCGAUAAUUCUGAUUCCCCAUGUAAUUCUGGUCAGAGAUUGUCUGAGUUCUUUGUGUAACCAUGCAUCUAAUACAGUCCCUGAUACAUAAUGAAGGAUGCCAAUUAAAUACAUUAAUUUAUUUAUAUACAUUACACCAUCUCCAUUUAUGUAUUCAAAUACAAAUAGAAAAGUGUAUCAAAAACAUACUUUAAGUCAGUGUUUCUCAAGAAAAUAUUAUGAUUCAAUUAAUCUGGAAGAGGUGUUUUGUUUUGUUUUGACACUCUCCAGAUAAUUCAGAUGUGCUGCCAGCAUUACAAACCAUUGAUUUAAGAGGAGAAAAGUUUAUUUUGGUAAAGUCAGUCAGUUUUUUUCUUUUGUGACUGGAGAUUUCUGCAUCUCAAAAUGUCUGCUACACCAGAAUUGUAAAAAUUUCUUUUUGUCUUUUUGCCUUUUCUAGGGUCGCUCCCAUGGCACAUGGAAGUUCCCA